rnacentral:rRNA from 1 species
CCCGGGUCUUGUACACACCGCCCGUCACACCACGAAAGUGGGUCACACUUGAAGCUGGGUAGCGAACCUUCGGGACGCGCCUGUCCAGGGUGGGGCCCGUGAUUGGGGUG